ensembl:lncRNA
AUGUCCUACGGAGUCACUGAGGCUGCCUGGGGAGGUGGAAGCGUUCACAGCAGCCUUCCUAACCAGCAGCUUUCCGGCUGGGCCCUACGGGAGUCUGCAUGUGGGCUGCAAACACUUGCAGGGACAGAGCCUCCUCCUGCAGCGCCAGGGGCCCCAUUUCAGCUGGACACGGAUGCACAGGGCACGGGUGUCUCUUGGAAUGGCAGCCUGCCCCCACCUCGGUUACUUCUCCUGGUGCCCUCUGAGUGCUGGGUGUGCUGCCCAUGGCCGUGGCCGUGUGCUCCCAGGAGCAGAGACUGGAUUCCCCCUUGCCUGAGCUUAGAAAAAUGGGGGAGUUCCAUCGUGGCUCAGAGGAAACGAAUCCGACUAGUAUCCAUGAGGAUGCAGGUUCGAUCCCUGGCCUCACUCAGUGGGCUAUGGAUCCAGCGUUGCUCUGAGCUGUGGUGUAGGUCGAAGAUGUGGCUCGGAUCUGGCAUUGCUGUGGCUAUGGUGUAGGCCGAUGGCUACAGCUCCAAUUCAGCCCCUAGCCUGGGAACCUCCAUAUGCCUCUGGUGAGGCCCUAAAAAAAAAAAAGAAAAAUGGGGGUGCAGCUCCAGGGAGCAAAAAGGGCUCACUGCCCCCAACCAUCUCCUCCAAGAUUUCCUCUUGCUCUGUCUGUAAUGGGCCCUCCUGCAUGAUCCGUUCUCGUUUCCUGUGAGUAAAUCAUAUGCCUCGGUGAGGCCCUAAAAAAAAAAAAGAAAAGAAACAUGGGGGUGCAGCUCCAGGGAGCAAAAAGGGCUCACUGCCCCCAACCAUCUCCUCCAAGAUUUCCUCUUGCUCUGUCUGUAAUGGGCCCUCCUGCAUGAUCCGUUCUCGUUUCCUGUGAGUAAAUAAUUACAAUUUGCUCAUGUCAAUGAGAACCUACUGUAUAGCAUAGAAAAACCUACUCCAUAGUUUGUAAUCACCAAAUGGGAGGAAAGAAUGGAUAUACUUUUAUGUAACUGACUCCCUUUGCUGUACACCUGAAAUGAAUACAACACUGUAAGGCAACUACACUCCAGUAAAAUUAAAUUCAAAAAAUAAUAAUUUGUUCCUAUCUGUUGGGCACAGGUAUGUUUUUGGCACUGUGCUAAACACUUAAUGUAUAAAAUAUAUACUGUGCUAUUAGUCCCAUUUUACAAAUGAGGAAGCCGACAUUAGGCAUCUUAGACAAAUCCCGCUGAUACCCCGUGGUAGAGCCAUGCUCAAGCUCUGGCUGCCUGAUCCUUCAGGGGGGCUCCUUACCCUAUAAAGGGGUGUCCUUACCCUGUAAAGGGGUGCGCUGGUACAGCUUGGCAGCCAGCUUUCCAGGAGGGAAAAAGCCUCAUUUGUAGCAUUUAUUAGUUUCUGAGGUGUAUUUUAUUUAUACAUUUUGGCUGCACCUGCAGCAUGCAGAAGUUCCUGGGGAUCGAACCGGUUCCACGGCCGUAACCGAAGGCACAGCCGUGACAACACCAGAUCUUUAACCCGCUGAGCCACGAGGGAACGCCUCUAUAGAGUAUACACUCCUACCACGGCCACCUUCAACCCACCAAGACACCACCCUGGAGCUCGGCACGGCCCUCGUGGUCCUCCGGGGCCGCAGGCAGGCCUUCCCACUCUCGCCUCGGGAACCGUGCGACACAGGAUGGUCUUGGGCCUCCCCGUGACCCUCACAACCGACCUUCCCCAACCUUCCCUCCCUCGUCCUGGGGGCUUCUCUCCGAGUACCACGCCAGGUGCACCGGGCCUCAGGGGGUACCCGGUAGGAGUCUGACAGCUACAGGCUCAGGUCUGGAGCAGCCUCGGCCUUUUGUGGGGAGGGAGCAGUCGUAGUUCCCAGAUCCCCAAGUGCUGGUGAUUGGUGGUUAUCUCUGGAAUUGCAGAACAGAGCUCAGGAGGGGUGCCAGGCCCCUGGUUCCACUCCAGGGAAACGGCAGCAGUCUGGGGAUGCGUGGCAGGAGGAGGCAGCAGAGCUCCCGUUCUGCAAUCGGCCAUGGGGUCUUCACGCCCUGCUUUCACCUGGGCUCGCCUCAGGUCCCUAAGCCAGGCCUGCGCUUCAGGGAUGGGCUGUCAUCCUGGCCACGGGGCUCCCUGCAGCUGCUGCUGUGCUCUGGGCCAGGGGCAUUCUUCCAGGCUCCUCCCUGCCCUGGCCUCAUUAUUUCUGCAGGGGGUGGGCCUGGGGACAGGCAUUUAGAGAUGCCCGAGCCCCAGAGCGCCCCUUCUCUUGCUCUCCUCUCCUGAAGCUUCUAAAUCAUCAGGGCACCUUUGGGAAUCUGGGUCCCCUACCUGGCCGCCUGCCCAUCCUCACAUGGAGAGCUGGCCACCCCCCCUCCAGCCCACAAGAAAGCCACAAAACUGUGGUGGUGGAGACGUUUAUUUAAUAUGGGGGUGGGGUAUUGCUGUCUCUGUCAGUGUGUACGGGGUGCUAGGGAGACAACCCGAGGACGUCUGCCCAGGACUGGGAGGCUGUUCCGGCCCCAGGCUGGGGGCGGCGGGCAGACUGAGGGACGGGAGGUGUGUACGGGGAGGAGGGCGAAGCUCUGCACACAUCCUGGGACCGCGGUCGGGGCCCACCCAGUCACCAAAGCAAGAACCGAAUAAAUAAAGUGCAACCGUGGGGUCGGGAGGGGGGAGGGGGGGGCCCGGGCGCGCCCCCGCCCGCAGCCCACAUUCAGUGCUGCCAGGUGCGGCCCGCCUCCCGGCCAGGCCAUCCUGUCCAGUCAUCCCCGAUGUCCGUCCCUCCGCGAGC